GAUGAAGAACGUAGCGAAAUGCGAUACGUAAUGUGAAUUGCAGAAUUCAGUGAAUCAUCGAAUCUUUGAACGCAUAUUGCGCUCUCUGGUAUUCCGGAGAGCAUGCUUGUUUGAGUAUCAGUAAACACCUCAACUUCCAUAUCUUUUUUGAAAUGGGAGUUGGACUUGAGUGAUCCCAACGCUUUUCCUCACCGAAAAGUGGCGGGUUACUUGAAAUGCAGGUGCAGCUGGACUUUUCUCUGAGCUAUAAGCAUAUCUAUUUAGUCUGCCUAAAAACCAGAUUAUUACCUUUGCUGCAGCUAACAUAAAGGAGAUUAGUUCUUGUGCUGACUGAUGCAGGAUUCACAAAGACAGGCUUCGGCCGACUUUGUAAACUCGAUCUCAAAUCAAGUAAGACUACCCGCUGAACUUAAGCAUAUCAAUAAGCGGAGGA
rnacentral:misc_RNA from 1 species